rnacentral:rRNA from 1 species
UACGUAGGGUGCGAGCGUUAAUCGGAAUUACUGGGCGUAAAGCGCGCGCAGGCGGCCCGCGAGGUGUCACGUGAAAGCCCCGGGCUCAACUCGGGAGGGUCGUGGCAAACCGGCGGGCUUGAGGCCGGUAGAGGUGGGUGGAACUCCUGGUGGAGUGGUGAAAUGCGUAGAGAUCAGGAAGAACACCCGUGGCGAAGGCGGCCCACUGGGCCGGUACUGACGCUGAGGCGCGAAGGCGUGGGGAGCGAACGGG